rnacentral:lncRNA from 1 species
GACUAUUUUGCCCCAAAAACAGAGUGUUUAAGUCACUUGAAACCAUAAGAUAUGCAUCGCAUAUGAUAUCGCAUAUAUUUACAUAGGCGCCGCAUAUGAUAUCGCCUAUAUUUACAUAGGCGCCGCAUAUGUUAUCACAUAUACUUUCCAGUGGCCAUGUGCUAUUAGUUAGGCGACGCAUACUACUUUGAAAGGCCAUAACUUCUUGCUCGGGUGUCGGAUUUUAGCAAAAUUGGUAUCGUUGGAAAGUUAACUCGAAGACCUAUCAUUU